CGUCGAUUCUCAGACUCUCAAUCUCUCUCCGAGUAUCCGGCCAGCUCUCCAGCUCGCCGGGCUUUCUGGGUUCGAUUUUAGGUUCGAUUUCUGGGUUCAAGGCUUCAAGGUCGGUGAUUCUUCAACCACGAAGCUUGGUGAUUCACUGAUUCUUCAAGCUCGAUUUUUGGGAAUUCUGGGUUCGAUUUCUGGGCUCAAGGCUUGAAGCUCGGUUCAACCUCGAAGCUUGGUGAUUUUUCAUGCUUGAUUUCUGGGUUCAAACUUCAAACUCGGUGAUUGACUGAUUGUUGAAGCUCGAUUUCUGGGUUUUGGAUUCUGCAAGCUCGGUGAUUUCUGGGUUUUGUGGUUUGAGAAUUUUCUUAAUACACUGCAAAGAUGUCGCCAACUGAUUCUACACGCGAGGAGAAUGUUUACAUGGCCAAGUUGGCUGAGCAAGCUGAGCGUUAUGAGGAGAUGGUUGAGUUUAUAUAUGGAGAAGGUCGCAAAGAUUGUUGAUGUUGAGGAGCUAACUGUGGAGGAAAGAAACCUCCUCUCUGUUGCUUAUAAGAAUGUGAUUGGAGCUAGGAGAGUCUGU